AGGAUUAACGCUGGCGGCGUGCCUAACACAUGCAAGUCGAACGAGGUAGCAAUACCUAGUGGCAGACGGGUGAGUAGCGCGUGGUCAACCUACCGUUGAGUGGGGGAUAACUAGCCGAAAGGUUAGCUAAUACCGCAUACGUCUCCGAGGGGCAUCCCUUGGUGAUAAAAGGAGCAAUCCGCUCGAUGACGGGACCGCGUCCCAUUAGCUAGUUGGUGGGGUAACGGCCUACCAAGGCAUCGAUGGGUAGCUGGUUUGAGAGAGCGACCAGCCACACUGGGACUGAGAUACGGCCCAGACUCCUACGGGAGGCAGCAGUGAGGAAUUUUCCGCAAUGGGCGAAAGCCUGACGGAGCGACGCCGCGUGUGGGAAGAAGGCCUUCGGGUCGUAACCACUGUCGAAGGGGAGAUAAUGACGGUACCUUGGAGGAAGCCCCGGCUAACGUACGCGCCAGCAGCCGC
rnacentral:rRNA from 1 species